UUGGGACUCCCGACCUUUAGGUUCUCUUCUGGUAGAUGCUAUAUGGGAUGCAGUGCUCUUAGGUUCCCUUCCUGUAGAUGCCAUUUUGGGCACUUUGCCUUUAGGUUCCCUUUCAGUAGGUGCCCUUUGGGACACCUUGCCUUUAGGUUCCCUUUCAGUUUGUGCCAUUUUGGCCACUUUGCCUUUAGGUUCCCUUCCAGUAGGUAUUGGUUGGGGCACAUGUCCUUUAGGUUCCUUUUUGAUCGGUGUCUUUUGGGAUGCAUUACCAUGCCUUGCAUCCAGCCUCAGAUCGGAUUCUGCGUUCAGCAGCACAGCCACAGGCAGAGAGGCAUGCUGUCCUGCAUAAGGCUUUCUUAUAUCUUAGGGUUCUUUGAAGAAUGUGAUUAACAAGUGAGUUUAGCAGAAACUGUUCUUUUGUGGAAUACAUGAAGUCUUUUUUGAGCUGGAGAUAAACAUCAAUCACAGGUUUUUCUGGUAUCAUUUGGUGGUUCUGUUCCAAUGCAUCCCGUCUUACUUGGAUUCACUCAUCCUCUCCAUUAAAAAUGUCCUUUCUCGGUUUGUGUUGGAAGUCAUCCAACUUUCUGUGAGCGCUGUCUGUGAGUUUGCUGCUGUGCGUGUUUAUUUGACCCGUGUCUGUCCCCCCGCAGAGAUCACUAUAUCUUUGGCAUCUGCUACCCCUCACACGCCCCUGCUGAAACCUGCCCUUGCUUUUACUCUACACUGUAUGAUUAGAAACAUGGAUUAAGUCAAUGAAGGAAUAUGGAUUUUCAUUUUUCAUUUAAUAUACACACAAAAUCACUACGGGUGCCGUGUUAAUACUUAUUAAGUAUUAAUUUACAAGUCUCCCAGCUAAGCCAGCGCGAAAAUCCCUAUUUAUGCUUUGUGGGGGAAUCGUAGCUUUUCCUUUAAUUGUCAAUUAGAGCAGUGCACACAGACAGGGUGUCUUCAGUAAUGAAGAUGAACAGGAAUCCUGCUGGAUCAUGGGGGAUAACUCUACAAGACUACAAAGGAAGGCCCUAAUUGCAUGGCUGGGCAUUAUGGGAAAGAGACUGGUUCAUGAGUCUUAGGACAAGAUUAACUCAAGACUUUGACCUCUUAGCAUCCUGGUUUUGAAUGGACAUUUUUUCUGAGCGCUGUCAACUGUAUUAAGCUUGUUCCUGCUCUGUAGAUUUUUAUUUUAUAUAUAUAUAUUUUUUUUUUUUACACUCAACACUACUCAGACAUUGGAUUCCCAAGCACCAACUCGCCCGUUAAAAACCGGCAUUUAAUUCUGCCUCAGGUAGCAUCGGGCUAAUCUGAAAUGACUCGUGGCGCCGCACUCGCGUCCCGAGAAGUCUGACACGUUAGGUGCGGUUCGAUCCUGCAGGUUCCCACAAAAACCUUUUGAGGUGAAGAUGUCCUGUUCGUCUGGCCUGGCGGAGCCAGCACAAGUCUCUUAGUUUACAGUGUUGCUCAAUGGGCCCCAGGCGCCGCGCUGAUGUGCAUAACUUGCAGGGCUGACAUUUUCUCAUGGAAAGGAAGGUAAACACCACCCAGAAAUCAAAACAAAAACAAAACCCAGCUGAAGGGCGGCACAAUAGUUGACGUUCUUACGUAUUAACAAAGUUUGAGUGAUGAAUAGGAUUUAAUUAGAGCGACGUGUAAACAUGUGUAAACAGAACGGCACAUUGUUUUAAGAGCUCGAUCUUGUUUUGAUUGGCUCUGGGUAUUCUGGACCGGUAUUGGUGGAAUUUUCUGUCAGUGCUUUGUGGAAAUUAACACUGGGUAUUAGAUGUUACCUGUAAACAGGUGACAGGAGUUCUUACUGAUAAGUCUGAUACUACUUGUAUCUGCACGGGUGUCACGUUUUGGCCCGCUCUUUUUCUUCGUGACGGAGAUGCGUGAAAUGGGGCGCGAUGGUUCAAACACACAUGGAUGUUGUAAAUACUUGUUUAUCUCGAGCGAUUUUGAGAAUUUUUGUGGAGAGCAGCCCGCCCGUGAUGGAGCUGCUA